rnacentral:rRNA from 1 species
UGCGCCUUGCCAGCCCGCUCAGAAACUUAAAUGAAUUGACGGGGGCCCGCACAAGCGGUGGAGUAUGUGGUUUAAUUCGAUGCAACGCGAAGAACCUUACCUGGUCUUGACGUCCCGGAGACCCUUAGGAAACUAGGGGGUGCUUCCAUCUGGAAGAAUCUGGAGACAGGUGCUGCAUGGCUGUCGUCAGCUCGUGUCGUGAGAUGUUGGGUUAAGUCCCGCAACGAGCGCAACCCUUGUCUUUAGUUGCCCAUAUUAAGUUAGGCACUCUAAAGAGACUGCCUCGGUUAACGGGGAGGAAGGUGGGGAUGACGUCAAGUCCUCAUGGCCUUUAUGCCCAGGGCUACACACGUGCUACAAUGGGCGGUACAAUGGGCUGCAACGCCGCGAGGCGAAGCCAAUCCCAAAAAGCCGUUCUCAGUUCGGAUUGGAGUCUGCAACUCGACUCCAUGAAGUCGGAAUCGCUAGUAAUCGUGGAUCAGCAUGCCACGGUGAAUACGUUCCCGGGCCUU